CUGGCUCAGAACGAACGCUGGCGGCGCGUUUAAGCAUGCAAGUCGAGCGGCAAGGGCCUUCGGGCCCCUAGAGCGGCGGACGGGUGAGUAACACGUGGACAAUCUGCCCCCCGGCCCGGGAUAGCCCAGGGAAACCUGGAUUAAUACCGGAUGAGACGGGACCCGCGAUGGCGGGACCCGGGAAAGGCGCUGCGGCGCCGCCGGGGGAUGAGUCUGCGUCCCAUUAGCUAGACGGCGGGGUAACGGCCCACCGUGGCGACGAUGGGUAGCCGGCCUGAGAGGGUGGACGGCCACAUUGGAACUGAGACACGGUCCAGACUCCUACGGGAGGCAGCAGCUAAGAAUCUUCCGCAAUGGGCGAAAGCCUGACGGAGCCGACGCCGCGUGAACGAAGAAGGCCGUGAGGUUGUAAAGUUCUUUUCGGGAGGGGGAACAACCGUGGCAGGGAAUGGCCGCGGGAUGACGUGAAUCCCGGAAUAAGCCCCGGCUAACUACGUGCCAGCCGCAGC
rnacentral:rRNA from 1 species